GAUCAUGGCUCAGAUUGAACGCUGGCGGAAUGCUUUACACAUGCAAGUCGAACGGUAGAGGGGGCAACCCUCGAGAGUGGCGAACGGGUGAGUAAUAUAUCGGAACGUGCCCAGUCGUGGGGAUAACGUAGCGAAAGUUACGCUAAUACCGCAUACGAUCUACGGAUGAAAGCGGGGGACCGUAAGGCCUCGCGCGAUUGGAGCGGCCGAUAUCAGAUUAGGUAGUUGGUGGGGUAAAGGCUCACCAAGCCAACGAUCUGUAGCUGGUCUGAGAGGACGACCAGCCACACUGGAACUGAGACACGGUCCAGACUCCUACGGGAGGCAGCAGUGGGGAAUUUUGGACAAUGGACGCAAGUCUGAUCCAGCCAUUCCGCGUGCAGGAUGAAGGCCCUCGGGUUGUAAACUGCUUUUGUACGGAACGAAAAGGUUUCCAUUAAUACUGGGAGCUCAUGACGGUACCGUAAGAAUAAGCACCGGCUAACUACGUG
rnacentral:rRNA from 1 species